UGAGGAAUAUUGGUCAAUGGACGAGAGUCUGAACCAGCCAAGUAGCGUGCAGGAUGACGGCCCUAUGGGUUGUAAACUGCUUUUGUUUGGGAAUAAUCGACAUUACGUGUAAUGUUUUGCAUGUACCAUUCGAAUAAGGACCGGCUAAUUCCGUGCCAGCAGCCGCGGUAAUACGGAAGGUCCAGGCGUUAUCCGGAUUUAUUGGGUUUAAAGGGAGUGUAGGCGGUUGGUUAAGCGUGUUGUGAAAUGUAGAUGCUCAACAUCUGACUUGCAGCACGACCUGGCUGACUUGAGUACACACAACGUAGGCGGAAUUCAUGGUGUAGCGGUGAAAUGCUUAGAUAUCAUGAAGAACUCCGAUUGCGAAUGCAGCUUUAGGGAGUGUUACUGACGCUUAAGCUCGAAGGUGCGGGUAUCGAACAGG
rnacentral:rRNA from 1 species